UACGAAGGGGGCUAGCGUUGCUCGGAAUUACUGGGCGUAAAGCGUGCGCAGGCGGUUUUGUAAGCCAGAUGUGAAAUCCCCGGGCUCAACCUGGGAAUGGCAUUUGGGACUGCAAGGCUGGAGUACGGCAGAGGAGACUGGAAUUCCUGGUGUAGCAGUGAAAUGCGUAGAUAUCAGGAGGAAUACCGAUGGCGAAGGCAGGUCUCUGGGCUGAUACUGACGCUGAGGAGCGAAAGCGUGGGGAGCGAACAGG
rnacentral:rRNA from 1 species